GACGAACGCUGGCGGCGUGCUUAACACAUGCAAGUCGAACGGAGUGGCGAACGGGUGAGUAAUACGUGAGUAACCUGCCCUCCUUUUGGGGAUAAGCCUUGGAAACGGGGUCUAAUACCGAAUAAAGGGGGAUGGGCUCGUGGCCUAUCAGCUUGUUGGGGGGGUGAUGGCCUACAAAGGCGGUCACGGGUAGCCGGCCUGGGAGGGUGACCGGCGAAAUUGGGAACGGGAUACGGCCCAGAGUGAUACGGGAGGGGGGAGUGGGGGAUAAUGGACGAUGGGCGAAAGCCUGAUGCAGGGACGCCGGGUGGGGGAUGAAGGGUUUCGGGUUGUAAACCUCUGUCGCUAUCGAACGGGUAGCGGGAGAAGAAGCGCCGGCUAACUACGUGCCAGCAGCCGCGGUAAUAC
rnacentral:rRNA from 1 species